CUUUUUCUUUCCCGGAGCUUGCUCCCCGAAAGAAAAAGAGUGGCGAACGGGUGAGUAACACGUGGGUAACCUGCCCAUCAGAAGGGGAUAACACUUGGAAACAGGUGCUAAUACCGUAUAACACUAUUUUCCGCAUGGAAGAAAGUUGAAAGGCGCUUUUGCGUCACUGAUGGAUGGACCCGCGGUGCAUUAGCUAGUUGGUGAGGUAACGGCUCACCAAGGCAACGAUGCAUAGCCGACCUGAGAGGGUGAUCGGCCACACUGGGACUGAGACACGGCCCAGACUCCUACGGGAGGCAGCAGUAGGGAAUCUUCGGCAAUGGACGAAAGUCUGACCGAGCAACGCCGCGUGAGUGAAGAAGGUUUUCGGAUCGUAAAACUCUGUUGUUAGAGAAGAACAAGGAUGAGAGUAAAAUGUUCAUCCCUUGACGGUAUCUAACCAGAAAGCCACGGCUAACUACGUGCCAGCAGCCGCGGUAAUACGUAGGUGGCAAGCGUUGUCCGGAUUUAUUGGGCGUAAAGCGAGCGCAGGCGGUUUCUUAAGUCUGAUGUGAAAGCCCCCGGCUCAACCGGGGAGGGUCAUUGGAAACUGGGAGACUUGAGUGCAGAAGAGGAGAGUGGAAUUCCAUGUGUAGCGGUGAAUGCGUAGAUAUAUGGAGGAACCCAGUGGCGAGGCGGCUCUCUGGUCUGAACUGACCUGAGCUCGAAGCGUGGGAGCAACAGAU
rnacentral:rRNA from 1 species